rnacentral:rRNA from 1 species
UACGUAGGGUGCAAGCGUUGUCCGGAAUUAUUGGGCGUAAAGAGCUCGUAGGCGGUUUGUCGCGUCUGCUGUGAAAACCUCAGGCUCAACCUGGAGCUUGCAGUGGGUACGGGCAGACUAGAGUGCGGUAGGGGUGACUGGAAUUCCUGGUGUAGCGGUGGAAUGCGCAGAUAUCAGGAGGAACACCGAUGGCGAAGGCAGGUCACUGGGCCGCAACUGACGCUGAGGAGCGAAAGCAUGGGGAGCGAACAGG